AGCUCCAAUAGCGUAUAUUUAAGUUGUUGCAGUUAAAAAGCUCGUAGUUGGAUUUCGGGUGGGUUCUAGCGGUCCGCUUCGGUGAGUACUGCUAUGGCCUUCCUUUCUACGGGGGACGGGCUCCUGGGAUUCACUUCUCGGGAUCCGGAUUCCGUGAUGAUACUUUGAGUAAAUUGGAGUGUUCAAAGCAAGCCUGCGCUCUGAACAUUUUAGCAUGGAAUAUCACGAUAGGACUCUGGCCUAUCUUGUUGGUCUGUAGGACCAGAGUAAUGAUUAAGAGGGACAGUCGGGGGCAUUCGUAUUUCAUUGUCAGAGGUGAAAUUCUUGGAUUUAUGAAAGACGAACUACUGCGAAAGCAUUUGCCAAGGAUGUUUUCA
rnacentral:rRNA from 1 species